rnacentral:tRNA from 1 species
ACCUAAUUAGUUUAAUAAAAAUAUUAAAUUGUGGAUUUAAAGAUAUAUAUAUAUAUUAUAUUAGGUC